CUGAAGUAGUCGAGUUCUCUUUUGUUAAUUAAUUUCUGUUAGUCAGUUAGCAAGAAGCAAACAUCAGGCCCCAGCUUAUCCAAAAUGGCGGCUACUCAACUCUGAAGCUGGGCUCCUAAUUAAUUUUGAUUGCAAAAUGAAAUCUGCUCACUUCUCACACCUCUCAGCCCCAAUCCGUGCCCGAAAUCCUAAACACACUUCUUCUUCUUCAGUUAAUCUUCUCCAGCCCUGCAAAUUCAGCUCUGUUUCUCUGACUUCGCCUUCAAAGUCCUCCCGUUUAUUCACGCUUUGCGCUUCCAAUUCCGCUAAAACGUCCUCUUCCCUGUCCGACCCUGCCGUGACGGAGCUCACCAAGGAUGCUUUUCUUCAAAUCGACGUGUCGCAAGGUCCGUUGAAUGUGGAAGUCAGAAACCCUAGCGUUCCGAGUCCGUCGGUGGCCAAAUUGAGCUUGAGCGAACAAGCUUUCUUUCUCCUGACCUUCAUCGCCUGCACGACUUCUGUGGCAUGUACGAGCCUUGUAAUUGCAGCUGUACCAACGCUUUGUGCAAUGGGGAGAGCUGCACUAUCUCUUUCAAAGCUGGCAGAUACAGCUCGUGAAGAACUCCCUAGUACUAUGGCUGCCAUUAGGCUUUCAGGAAUGGAAAUAAGUGAUCUUACACUGGAACUGAGUGAUCUAAGCCAAGAGAUAGCUGAUGGGGUCAGCAAAUCCACUCAAGCUGUUCAAGCUGCUGAAGCUGGGAUUCGGCAGAUUGGUUCACUUGCUCGACAGCAGACUAUGUCUAUGAUUCAAGAGAGGGCGAGCCUGCCCAUCAUCUCUUUGCAACCUGCUGUUGUUGGAGCAGCAAAGAAGACUUCUCGUGCUGUUGGCCAAGCCACCAGGACGCUCAUGAAUAUAAUCUCUCGAAAGGACUUAGAGAAUGAGGAUGACAUUGGAAUUGAUAGGGUGGAAAUUUGAGUUUGCCGCACUUAAAAUCAGUAACUCUAUUCUCACCAACUUUGUGCACAUACUUCUUGUAGAGCAGUUAUUGUAAGUGCAAAUGCCCCGAAGUUAGGGAUAAGUCGUCAAGAUACUGUUGACUACAUAGAAGCUCAUAAGCUCCUGUUGCAGUGGUGGUCCAGUUCUUCGAAUUGAAGCUGUCAAAGGAGUAAGAAGUUCCUAAGCUCCUAUUGUGAUGCUGGUCCAAUUAUAAUGUGAGAUUCCUAUAUUACCGUUCCAAACUAAGGUUGGCCGUUACCACAACAUUGAUGAUGUGAUGGACUCUUUGUGGUACAGAGGCGCUGUAGAACUGAAAGAAAAGGAAAUUGCAGAGACAAAAUGAGAAAGAGGAUAAGUUUGUUGUU